GGGUGAGUAACGCGUAAGGAACUUGCCUCUUGGACUGGGACAACUGUUGGAAACGACAGCUAAUACCGGAUAUUAUGAGAUUCUCGCAUGAGAAACUUAUGAAAGCUAUAUGCGCCAAGAGAGAGCCUUGCGUUCCAUUAGCUAGUUGGUGGGGUAACGGCCCACCAAGGCGACGAUGGAUAGCCGGCCUGAGAGGGUGAACGGCCACAAGGGGACUGAGACACGGCCCUUACUCCUACGGGAGGCAGCAGUGGGGAAUAUUGGACAAUGGGCCACAAGCCUGAUCCAGCAAUUCUGUGUGCACGAUGAAGGUCUUCGGAUUGUAAAGUGCUUUCAGUUGGGAAGAAGAAAGUGACGGUACCAACAGAAGAAGCGACGGCUAAAUACGUGCCAGCAGCCGCGGUAAUACGUAUGUCGCAAGCGUUAUCCGGAUUUAUUGGGCGUAAAGCGCGUCUAGGCGGAAAAAUAAGUCUGAUGUUAAAAUGCGGGGCUCAACUCCGUAUUGCGUUGGAAACUGUUUUUCUAGAGUACUGGAGAGGUGGGCGGAACUACAAGUGUAGAGGUGAAAUUCGUAGAUAUUUGUAGGAAUGCCGAUGGAGAAGUCAGCUCACUGGACAGAUACUGACGCUGAAGCGCGAAAGCGUGGGGAGCAAACAGGAUUAGAUACCC
rnacentral:rRNA from 1 species